rnacentral:rRNA from 1 species
UACGUAGGGUGCAAGCGUUGUCCGGAAUCACUGGGCGUAAAGGGCGCGUAGGCGGCUCAUGAAGGCUGUGGUGAAAGUCCGGGGCUCAACCUCGGAUCGGCCGUGGCGACUCGUGGGCUGGAGCACUGUAGAGGCGGGUGGAAUUCCGGGGUGUAGCGGUGGAAUGCGUAGAGAUCCGGAAGAACACCAGUGGCGAAGGCGGCCCGCUGGGCAGUGGCUGACGCUGAGGCGCGACAGCGUGGGGAGGCAAAC